GGGCCGNCAAACCUGUUNCUCGAGCGGUACACAGAGAGCUUGCUCUCGGGUGACGAGCGGCGGACGGGUGAGUAAUGUCUGGGAAACUGCCUGAUGGAGGGGGAUAACUACUGGAAACGGUAGCUAAUACCGCAUAACGUCGCAAGACCAAAGUGGGGGACCUUCGGGCCUCAUGCCAUCAGAUGUGCCCAGAUGGGAUUAGCUAGUAGGUGGGGUAAUGGCUCACCUAGGCGACGAUCCCUAGCUGGUCUGAGAGGAUGACCAGCCACACUGGAACUGAGACACGGUCCAGACUCCUACGGGAGGCAGCAGUGGGGAAUAUUGCACAAUGGGCGCAAGCCUGAUGCAGCCAUGCCGCGUGUAUGAAGAAGGCCUUCGGGUUGUAAAGUACUUUCAGCGAGGAGGAAGGCGUUAAGGUUAAUAACCUUGGUGAUUGACGUUACUCGCAGAAGAAGCACCGGCUAACUCCGUGCCAGCAGCCGCGGUAAUACGGAGGGUGCAAGCGUUAAUCGGAAUUACUGGGCGUAAAGCGCACGCAGGCGGUCUGUCAAGUCGGAUGUGAAAUCCCCGGGCUCAACCUGGGAACUGCAUUCGAAACUGGCAGGCUAGAGUCUUGUAGAGGGGGGUAGAAUUCCAGGUGUANCGGUGAAAUGCNUANAGAUCUGGAGGAAUACCCGUNGGCNAAGNCGNCCCCCUGGACANAACAGGAUUAGAUACCCUGGUAGUCCACGCCGUAAACGAUGUCGACNUGGAGGUUGUGCCCUUGAGGCGUGGCUUCCGGAGCUAACGCGUUAAGUCGACCGCCUGGGGAGUACGGCCGCAAGGUUAAAACUCAAAUGAAUUGACGGGGGCCCGCACAAGCGGUGGAGCAUGUGGUUUAAUUCGAUGCAACGCGAAGAACCUUACCUACUCUUGACAUCCAGAGAACUUAGCAGAGAUGCUUUGGUGCCUUCGGGAACUCUGAGACAGGUGCUGCAUGGCUGUCGUCAGCUCGUGUUGUGAAAUGUUGGGUUAAGUCCCGCAACGAGCGCAACCCUUAUCCUUUGUUGCCAGCGAUUCGGUCGGGAACUCAAAGGAGACUGCCAGUGAUAAACUGGAGGAAGGUGGGGAUGACGUCAAGUCAUCAUGGCCCUUACGAGUAGGGCUACACACGUGCUACAAUGGCAUAUACAAAGAGAAGCGACCUCGCGAGAGCAAGCGGACCUCAUAAAGUAUGUCGUAGUCCGGAUUGGAGUCUGCAACUCGACUCCAUGAAGUCGGAAUCGCUAGUAAUCGUAGAUCAGAAUGCUACGGUGAAUACGUUCCCGGGCCUUGUACACACCGCCCGUCACACCAUGGGAGUGGGUUGCAAAAGAAGUAGGUAGCUUAACCUUCGGGAGGGCGNNUUCNUUANNUUUNC
rnacentral:rRNA from 1 species